CAAGUCGAGGGGCAGCACGAGUAGCAAUACUUGGUGGCGACCGGCAGACGGGUGCGUAACGCGUAUACAACCUACCCUUGUAAAGGGGAAUAACCCGGAGAAAUUCGGACUAAUACCCCGUAAGUAUUUGAUCGGCAUCGAUUGGAUAUGAGAGAUUUAUCGUUCAAGGAUGGGUAUGCGUGACAUUAGGAAGUUGGUGAGGUAACGGCUCACCAAUCCGACGAUGUCUAGGGGUUCUGAGAGGAAGGUCCCCCACACUGGUACUGAGACACGGACCAGACUCCUACGGGAGGCAGCMGUGAGGAAUAUUGGUCMAUGGACGAGAGUCUGAACCAGCCAUGCCCUUACCCGGGCUUGAAAGUUAGUGACCGGUGGUGAAAGCCACUUUUCCAGCAAUGGACACGAAACUAGGUGCUGCAUGGUUGUCGUCAGCUCGUGCCGUGAGGUGUCGGGUUAAGUCCCAUAACGAGCGCAACCCCUGUCGUUAGUUGCUAGCAGGUAAUGCUGAGGACUCUAACGAGACUGCCGGUGUAAACCGAGAGGAAGGUGGGGAUGACGUCAAAUCAGCACGGCSAUUACGUCCGGGGCGACACACGUGUUACAAUGGAUGGUACAAAGGGUUGCAACAUAGCGAUAUGAAGCUAAUCUCAAAAAGCCAUUCUCAGUUCGGAUCGCAGGCUGAAACUCGCCUGCGUGAAGUUGGAUUCGCUAGUAAUCGCACAUCAGCCAUGGUGUGGUGAAUACGUUCCCGGGCCUUGUACACACCGCCCGUCAAGCCAUGGAAGUUGGGGGUGCCUGAAGUACGUGUGCGUAAAAGCAGCGUCCUAGGGCAA
rnacentral:rRNA from 1 species